rnacentral:lncRNA from 1 species
UAGUGAGAGAAACCCCGCUCGACCUUGAUAUACCCAUGGUACAGAGAAUGCGGUAACACUCAUCUAGAAAUCCCAGAGUAUCAUACGAUGCUAGACCACUGAAUACAGGAGGCUUGUACUUCUUAAACCUCUCAAGCCUCAGCUGCUCAUCCUCGGAAACCGUUGCCCUGUCCUCGGGCUGAUCUCGGACUGCAGGCGGUACAGAAAUAUUCUUGGGGACUUGCUCAACAUGUACUCGCUACUCAAGAGUGCAGGCGGCGGGAGUCUGUGCUCCUCCCCCGGCCUAAGAUGUAGUUGCAGCAAGGGGAAGCAACCCUACCUGAGCCAAAGUGGUGUACAUGCUCAUGAACUGUGCCAGAGUCUCCUGAAGUGCUGGAGUAGUAGUAGCAGUAGGCGUAUCUGGUGUCGGGACUCUAGUUAGAACUGCUGGUUCUACCUCGGUGGCAGCUCGUAUAGGUACUCUGGAUGCACCACGUGUGCGUGCUCGACCUAUACCUCGACCCCGGCCUCUAACGGCUGCAGUAGGGGGCGCGGGUGCCUGAUCAUCUCGGGUAGCGCGUGUCUUCACCAUCUGUGAGAGAAUAGAAGACAAAAGUUUAGAAUUGUGAUGUCAAAAUCUCGCAUGACAAGGAAAUCAAAUGUAGUCGAAUUUUCCUAAUAGUUACAUAGCCUCUCAUAGAUAAGUACAGGUGUCUCUGUACCGAUCAGCGAGACUCUAAUACGGCUUGUGAUUUAUGACUCCUAUGAACCUAGAGCUCUGAUACCAACUUGUCACGACCCCCAGUUCUCCCUCAGUGAACCAUCGUGAUGGCACCUAAUCUCUACGACUAGGUAAGCCUAACAAUGCGGAAAAUAAACCAAUUUGCGGAAGAAAUAAUUAAAACCGAAGUAGUGAAAUAAAACAGUAAUUUAAAGUGUUGCUUGGAAUACACAAUAUCAACUCUCGAAAGCUAAAUACAUUUCCUAAAACCCAGAAUCUCAUGAUCACAAGCCUUUGAAAGUAUACAAACGUCUAACUCCAUAAUAUCUAACAAAGACACAAAGUACGGAAGGGCUAAUACAAAAGGGACAGUACAAAGGGACUCUUCGGUCUGCGGACGCGGCAGAUAUACCUCGGAGUUUCUAUGAAUGCCUCAUAUCAAGCGUGAUAAGUCUGAGUGGGGGUACCUGGAUCCCAAUGAAUUCCUCUAAAAUCUCUCUUGAAAAUGCUCCCCAAGGCUUCUUCCCGUUUGAAAAGAGGUGAAAAUAGCUCAAAUUCGCGAAUGCAAGAAUUUAUAUGUUUCUGCCCAGCUAAUUCGCUUUUGCGGCAAUGCACUGCACCUGCGGUCCCGCUUCUGCGAAUCCAAGGUCGCAUCUGCGACUUCUCAUUAACUCAACAUUUCCACUUCUGCGACAUGCUCCCCGGACCUACGACCUCGCAGGUGUAGCCUACCUCCGCAUCUACGGAUCCAGCCCAUCUUCCUCUUGGCCGCAUCUUCGACUUCCCUUAUCACUUCUGCGGGCUCGCACCUACGGCCCCCAAGCCGCAGAUGCGGUUAUGAUAGCAGAUUUGAAACUUCAGUUGCAACCUCUCAACUCCAAACUUCCCGUUAACCACCCGAAAUCAUCCCGAGGCCCCCGGUACCUCAACCAAAAACACGAACAACUUAUAUAGCAUUAUCCAAACUUAUACCAAUCCUUAGAACACCUAAAACAACAUCAAAAUGAAAUCAACCACGGAUUCAAGCCUAAGAACUCCAAAACUCUAAAUUUCCGCUUUCGAUCAAAAACAGUCUAUCAAACCUCGUCCGAAUGACUUAAAAUUUUGCACACACGUCACAUUCAACAUUACGCAGCUACUCCAACUUCCGAAAUUACAUUCCGACCCUCAAAUCAAAAUCUCACUGUCGAACCAGAAACUUCAAAAUUCGACUUCUCGACAUUUCAAGGCUAAAUUAGCUAUGAACCUCCAAUACACAAUCCGAACACGUCCCUAAGCCCGAAAUCACCCAACGAAGCUAACGGAACCAUCAGAAUUCCAUUCCGAGGCCAUCUUCACAUUGUUCUGACUACAGUCAAAUUUUUCCAAACUUAAGCUCUCAAUUAGGGACUAAGUGUCCCAAAACUCUCCGAAACUCAAAACUGAACAUCCCGGCAAAUCAAAAUAGCAAAAAUAGAUACGGGGAAAGUAGUUAAUAGGGGAUCUGGGCGUAAAUCCUCAAGAUGACCAGCCGGGUCGUCACAUGUCCCGUUACCCGGUAAUUAACCAAUUACCCAAAAAAUUAAGAAUUUUCUCAAAUUACUUAAAAUUCUAUACAUUUUUAACAUACUUUAUCCAUCAUACUAUCAUGGUCCUAUGGUACCUUAUAAGGCGCUAGCCCAUAAAUAUCGGCUAUUAUAACUCGGACCGUAUUUUAUCCCAAAUUGACAACCUUCAACGAAACUCAUUUUCUUUAAUUCGUGUACCCUUUAUCCUCCAUGGCACUUAUUUAUCACUUGUUGUAAAUAGCAUAAGUAUGCUAACCUCGGGAUAAUCUCAUUUCCAAGAUUUUAUCAAUUUACUUAUGGUGCAUUUCUAUGUACGAAAAUGUGGGGUAUAACAGCCUUGAGGUGGGAUUUUUGGUCGUGAUAUUUGCCAAGCUCAUCACUGCUUUUAGCCCAAGUUCAGGCUUACUACAUAUUUAGUAUAUGGGGUAGGUUUUACUCAUACUACACUCUACACUUCAUGUGCAGAUCUAGGUGCUGCUAAUAGCGGUGGUGGCCAGUGAGCUGUAUCCGAUUUUGCUUGGAGAUCUCAAGGUAGCAUUACAUGUGUUAUUCAUAUGCCUUAAAGUCCCCUAUUUUAUCUUAUGUUCUUACUAUUAAGUUUUCUAGAUAAUAUUAUAUUUUAUUCAGACCUUGUAUUCCGUAUUCUAUAUAUCUCAUGCACUCAGUGAUACCAGAUUUAGGGUGGAUUCACUUGUAUUGACAUUUUUACUUCAGUUAUUUGUACCAUUCCGUUUUUUAGACAAUUUCUUUCACGACCCAGCCUAGGGCCGAGACGAAUAACGACACUAAGUGCCGAUCACCACUAAACCUGGUAUAAUCUACUAAGAAGGAAUAUAAACUGAUAAACCGAACAAGCAUAAGCAUAGCUGAUAAGAACAAUACAAUCUAAAAAGCCGACAAUGCUAAUAGAAGCAAACAUAUAAAAACAAACUAACUGCACAGGUGCAUCUCUACAUGCCUCUAGGAGUGCUGAAGUGAAAAAGUACUAGACGGAAUAGGGUCUUGCCAUACCCAAACUACUGACUGUACACAUGCCAAAAUCUAAGUAACUCGGGGACUAAGCGGAGUGACUCUAACAACUGGUGGAUGGUCUACUGAUAUGGCUCAAGUGCUAAUCUAUCUAUACCUGCAUGGCAUGAAACUCAAUGGACCGAAAGGGACGUGAGUACGAUAUGUACUAAGUAUGUAGGGUGGAAAGCAUACUAAAGUAUGACUGUAAGUUGGAAAUUUGAAUAUAAGCUAAAAGCUAAACAAAAUCUGAACUAGGAACUAAUCUGGAACUAAACCAAAGUUUAAGCAGAAACUAUGUUGAAAUUGAACUACUAUCUGAAUUGGUACAUGUCUGCGUUAUGAGCUAUAUCCCUCCGAUCAUGUAACUAUACAUCUAAACUAGCCUCAUUUAUAGUCAUGCAAUACAAACUGUAUCUAUUUACGCAUAUAUAACAUGCCUUACUAAUGUUAUGAGUUAUAUCCCCUAGUAGGUAAAUAUAUAAUCAAUAGGUCUGGCUGGUGUUAUGGGUUAUCUCCCCCCAACAUACAGUCAAUAGGACUCCAUGGAGUUAUGGGCUAUAUCACCCUUGCGUAAUCAAUGUAAGCAUGUAUGAGGCAAAACAUAUGUGGCAACAUCAUAUGGACUCAAGAUAUCACGAAGGAAACCAUAAAAAGAAUCACAAACGUAAUCUGACGCUCGUCGUCCAUAAGUUGGAUGGAGGAGCAUAUCCCCAUUUUAAGGAGAAACUGAGUAUUUACAUGAGAUACUAAGGCUAAUUAACUCAUUAGGAUCCCUCUAGAAUCUAAUUAAAAAAAUUCCAACUCUUUGAAUUUCCAAAAUUUUGGUAGAGUUUCCCCUAAAACUGGAUGAUAAAAAAACAGCAAGCACCAUAAUAUACACGAGAAUGGAUACCUAUCCAAGUUGAUAGCAUCAAUCUAAAGGGGAUUCACUUCUCCACAAUAGUGUAAAAUGAUCGACAAAACAGAAUUAUGAACGUAAUGUCAGCUUAUAAUGACUAACUUGUGACAUGAAAGUCUAAAUACGAUUUAGAAAUAAUCUAAGAAUAAAUACAUGAUAAUUAAGUUUAUAUAAUCUUAAAUGAAGCUAUUAGUAUCAUAUGGGGGCUAGGUAUACGUGAAAACAUCAAAGUAACGAAAUAAACAGAAGUCCAGAAGGCAUAGGCCAAAUGGGCGAUUCGCUGUUUUUUGUUUUUGUGGUGUUUUGAGGUUCCAACCUAAACUAGUUUCUUACAUAAUUCAAAUAUGGAAUUGAAUAUUAUACAACACAUGCUUAAAUUUCCCUUAAACAACUCUUAAAAGAUCAAGAAGAAAGGCUAGAACAUAGUUAAAUCAAAUCAUGCCAAAAACGAAGUGAAAACCCUACAUACCUCUUGUGUUCUUGCUUCCAAACCUUAUCCCCCUUUAUCCACACCCUUCCUUAUGCUUGUAUGUGUCACGACUUAAACUGGAGGGUCAUGACUAGCACCCGGGCCAUACCUGCCGAGUACCAACGUACAUUUUAUCUAACCUUUCUUAUUAUUUAUAAGGGCCGACGAUAUCAACAUGAAUAGUAGACAUGAAUCAUGAGCAACCAACAAUGAUAUAUAAUGACAUGAACAUACAUAACAUGGGUCGACAAGGAUGUCAUGAAGAUAUAUAUAAGGUACGAGCUUCCAUGCUGCUAUGACAGACUAUACAACAAAAAUCAGCCGACAAGGCAGUCCAAACUAUACAUGAGUCAACACCUGUCUAUGAGCCUCUAAAGGAAAAUAAAUGCUAUAACAUUGCUGGAAUAGGGCCCCGACAUACCCAUAAUGUCUAUAACAAAAGUUCAUACCAAGACUAUGGCAAGUCUGGAUUAGGGAUCUCGCUAAUAACCGCUGAAUUGGGCAGCCUACUGUGGUGGGGGAGCUUUGCCUACCUGUCUAUCAGGACCUGCAGCACGAUAUGUAGUAUCCACAAAUAAAAGGGAUGCCAGUACGAAUAAAGUACUGAGUAUUUAAGGCAGGAAGGCGUAAAUAAGAACAGUAAUGUAAAUAGGGAUAGAAAAUAUACAGCCUGUAACAUAUGAGUACCUCUGAGGGCUAUUGACAUGCAUGAUACAUAUAUAUAUACAUAAACUUUUUAAAAUGUAUGCCUCUGUAGGCAUCAUCAUCGUAUCGUACCCGGCCAUAAUUGGCUUAGUAAAAACAUACCCGGCCAUUAUAAGGCUCGGUAAAAUCGUACCCGGUCAUGUGGAGCUCGAUAAAACCUAAUUGAUCAGUGGUUGCAUAAUAGGUAUCGUACCUAUCCGACUAUAUCGUGGCUCAGUAGAGUAAAAUAGGUACAUAUAUAGUGCAUACUAGACUCAUUGGAAUCACAUUCUGAACCUUUCGGAGUGAUGUAAGGUCAGUAACCUUCGUACACGUUAUUAGGACUAACUCUUCAUCAUGGAUCUUAUAAGAAUCAAGAAGUACCAACAACAUUGAUAACAUAAGAAUAAGAGAAGCAACAUCAACAUCAAUCGUUCCAUAAGAAGGGAAACAAUGUAAGUACUGCUAGUUUCUAAGAGUGAAGUAUCUUUAAAAGCUCGUUCAUUACAUUUUGUACAAUCGGAGUCAUUCAAAAGAAGAAGGAAAGGGAUAGCCUCACAUACCUUGUAUAUAUUACCCAACCUCAAGCUAUGCAAAUGUCACGACUCCCUAAUCUACAACAAGAGAAAUGACAAUGUCGUUAUCAUUUAAGCAUCGUAACUAUUACAUAUCGACCGCAACCUAUUUUACGAUGAACCAUACAAUACCUCCCCUAAUUAUAUGACUUCCCACGAGUUAAAACAAUCACGAAACAGCCCAAAAAACAUCAAUAAUAAUCAUAUUAAGCCUCCCAACAUAGUCCACCAACCAACAACAUACUAACAAGUCUUUCGAUAGAUAACUCACAAGUUUUAGCUUCAACGACUUAGCCUCAACAUGGAUAAUCUUAAAUACAUGUAGAGUAAGAGGUUACUUACCUUUAAAUGGAUAGAUAAAAUCCAAUUUGACCUUAAUUCACCACGAAAUAUCCUUCCAAUGCUGCCACAAGAACAAGGAAGCGAAACUAGGGUUUUCCGGCACUAGAAUCACUUUGGAAAACUUGAAAUCACCUAGGGUUGAUAUUAAAAACUUGAGGGAGUAUUUUACAGAACAUAAACCACUUAAAAAAACCUCCCAAGUGAGCUGGAACCACACAAAAAUCAGCAACAAGAAGAACAAGAAACUUACUAGCACCACGGGAUUUCGGACACUUGAUUUGUGUUGUUUGCCCUUUGUUUGGGUCUUGGAUCAUGAGAGAACCUUGAGAGAGUGUUUUUAGGUGUCUAGGGUCUGAUGAUAAUGAAAAGUAAAGAGUUAAAAGGGGGUUAAGGCAUCUCAUAUAUAUCAAUAUAUCUCAACCGCCUAUAUGGGCCCCAUAGAGAGCUACUUGUGAAGUCUCGCAAAAACGCGAAUAUCUCUCUACUCCGACAUCGUAUCGACGAAUGGUUUAAUGAGUUGAAAACUAGAAUCAUAGAUAUUCAACUUGGUGGGUAUAUCACCCCAUCAUUGCAAGAAAAUUUAGUAACAUUUGACCUAAAGUAUAAGUAAAAUUAUGUACGUAAGUUGCGACAACUUCUGUCGACUUUUGUUUCAUAACUCGUUUGACUUCAAAACAUAUGAUACGGAUAUUAUAUGAUUCAAAUACCUUAAAAACGACCUCUUGAGAAUAUUAAGAACCUCUAGUUUUACCCAAAAAUAUGGGUUACAACAUCCUUGAUUUGUUUAACUUCUAAUACUUGUUAACCACUCUUAUACACUCUUGUAUCAUUUAAGGCCAAUAUGAUUAACUUCUUAUCAUCUCAAAGAUAAUCGCUUUUCGUAUUUAUGUCGACUAACUUACGGUGUGAUCUAACAUACAUGAAUAUGGGUUGUAACAGUAUAGAUAUGAUAAAGAGAUUACAAGAUUUCUUAGCCAUGAAGCUCUUUCCAAAACUUGAGCUAUAAGGAGAAAGGCGGACUUCAAAGUCUUAUCUAUGUCAUAAGGAUCGUGUUUAUGUGUUCACUUCUUGAUUUUGAGUUGCGGAUGAUGGACUUGCUUCAAAACCCUAAGGAACAUCUUGGAGAGCUAUGGAAGCUCUACUUGGGCGUGAAUUUUUUGCAAAUAGAGGAAAAAGAAGGCUAAGUCUUCUAUUUAUAGUAAGGUUGAAAAGUCAACCACAUGUGCUUCACCGGCCCUUCUUCCGAUGCCCAUAUCUCUUUAUCCAGACGUCGUAUAAAUGAGCGGUCGAGAGAGUUGGAAACUAACUUACAUGACCUUAAAUUUGGUAUAUAAUAUGUCCCCGAAAUAACUCAUAUAACACACAAAAUUAAUUGCUCAAAAAACUUUGUUACAAGGCAAAUCCUUAAUCGAUUCUUCCGCAACUUAAAUCUGAUUUUUUCCAAACUUUAUAUUCUAUAUUCAAACAUCAUAUAUAGUAAUAUUAUAACUUUAAAAUCAUUUAAAUCAUGCUUAAAAAUUCAUUUACACAAUAUACGACAUCACAUAUGUAUGGGGUGUGACAAUCUCCCAAUCUUAAGAACAUUCGUCCUUGAAUAUUGACUGAGGUAUACAAAAGCAUUAAGCAAUGAUCCAUUACAUACAUGGAGUAGUGAAGAGGUGUGGAUAUAUGGCUCUCAUAUCCUUCUUAGCUUCCCAAGUCAUCUCUUCCACAUUAUUGCUUCGUCCUCAACCGACGAACCUGCUGAUCUAAAAUGGCAACUAGUACCUCCUCAUAAGUUAAUUGCUUGGUGAUCUGUACAUCAUCAACUAGUACUACUCUAGAAGGAUCUCCAAUACACGUCCGAAGCAUGGAGACAUAAAACACUAGAUGUACCUCUUGAAGGUCUGCUGGAAGGUCCAACUCGUAUGUUACACGACCAGCUCGUGUGAUGAUCAGGUAUGGACAUAUAUACCUAGGGCUAAGCUUUCCCUUUUUUCAGAACCUUAUAACACCUUUCAUAGGUGACACCUUCAGGAACACCUAAUCAUCAACUUGGACUUCUAGAUCUCAGUAUCGAUUGUCUGCAUAUGAAUUCUGUCAACUUUGGGUUGCUAGCAAUCUCUCCCUAAUCAGCUUAACCUUAUCCACUUCUUGUUGGAUCAUAUAUGGGCCUAUAAGUUGAUACUCACAAACUUCAAACCAUCCUAUGGGUGAUUUGCACUUACGCCCAUACAAAGCUUCAUAAGGUGUCAUUUUUAUGAUGGAAUGAUAACUAUUGUGGUAUGCAAACUCUAUCAACGGUAAGUGUUCAUCCCAGCUACCUUUGAAAUCUAACAUACAUGCCCUUAACAUGACCUCGAGCAUCCAUAUGAUUCGCUUGACCUGUCCAUCUAUCUAGGGAUGAAAAGUUGUACUCAAAUUCAAUUGCUAGAAGUUAGCUGUAAACUGUGCGCCUCUACCUGAAAUGAUAGAUAUUGGAACGCUUUGGAGAUGUACAAUCUCCCUGAUAUAAAAUCAGGCUUAAUCUUCUAUUGUAUAGGUAGUGCUAACAAGCAAGAAAUAAGUUGAUUUAGUAAGCCUGAUGACUAUAACCCAAAUAGAAUCAUACCUGCUCCUCGUACGUGGCAGUCAUGUAAUAAAGUCCAUAUUUACUACUUCUCACUUCCAUGUUGGGAUCUUUAUCUCUUGUAACAAAUCGCUAGGCUUCUGGUGCUCAAACUUAGCAUGCUGGCAGCUAGGACACUAGGCCACAAACUCUACUAUGUCACAUUUCAUUCCACCCCACCAAUAAAUCUGCUUAAGAUCAUGGUACAUCUUAGUAGAGCCUGGAUGAAUUGUGUACCUGGAAUGAUGUUCCUCUACCAUAAUUUUCAUGCGUAACCCUGCAGCGUCUGGAACAAAGAGCCUAUCUUUAUAUCUGAGGACUCUUUUACUAGUAACUAUGUAAGGAGACUUUUUAUUUUUCCUGGCUACCAUACUGUACUUAAUUAGAACUGGAUCUUCAUAUUACCUCUAUUUCACUUCGGUCACUAAACAAGUGGUAGUCGUAUUCUGAACUAUAACUUUUGCAUCCUCUAAAUCUAUCAAUUUAAUACCCAAACUGGCUAACUGAUGGAGUUUAUGAGCUAACUCCCUUUUUUUAGGCUGAAAGCAAGCUAAACUCCCCAUGGACUUAUGACUGAGAGCAUCAACUACAACACUAACUUUACCUGGAUGAUAAAGAAUGUCAACGUCGCAGUCCUUUAGAAGCUCUAACCACUUUCUUUGCUGCAAGUUCAACUCCUUCUAUUUAAUUAUGUACUGGAGGCUCUUAUGAUAUGUAUAGAUAUCAACAUUAAUGCCAUAGAGAGAGUGCCUUCAAAUCUUCAGUGCUUGAAUAAUCGCUGCUAGCUCCAAGUUAUGUGUAGGAUAAUUCUGUUGUGCUUCUUCAAUUGUCUAGAAGCAUAAGGAAUUACCUUUUUGUGAUGUAUCAGCACAUAACCUAGGCCAAUUCGAGAAGCGUCACAAUAAAUAACAUAACCCUCAGAUCCCUCUAGAAGUGUAAGAACCGGAGUUGUAAUCAACCUGUUCUUCAACUCCUGCAAACUCUUCUCACAUUCAUCUAACCACUGAAAUUUGGAUGCUUUCUGUGUUAAUCUAGUCAAUGGCGCUGCAAGGGAAGAAAAGCCUUCUACGAACCUCUUGUAAUACCCUGCUAAACCCAAAAAGCUACGUACUUCGAUUGGCGUUAUAGGUCUAGGCCAAUUCUUCAUUGUCUCUAUCUUCUGACCAUCUACUUUGAUGCCCUCUGAUGAUAUAUAUGUCCAAGAAAUGCUACCGAAUUCAACUAGAAUUUGCACUUCAAGAAUUUGGCAUACAAUUUCUUGUCUCGGAGGAUACCCAACAUUAUGCGCAGAUGCUUCAGACUUGGAAUAAACCAGAAUAUCAUCAAUAAACACUAUCACUAAUAGGUCCAGAUAAGGCCUAAACAUGUUGUUCAUAAGAUCCAUAAAUACCGCUAGGACAUUAGUCAACCCAAACGACAUUACUAGAAACUCGUAAUAGCCAUAUUGGGUUCUGAAUGAUGUCUUAGGUAUCUCACAUUCUCUGACUCUAACCUAAUGGUAGCCUGAUCUCAAGUCUAUCUUCGAGAAGAACUUAGCACCCUGAAGGUAGUUGAACAAGUCAUCAAUUCUGGGAAGAGGACAUUUGUUCUUGAUCAUGACCUUGUUUAGUUGUUUGUAAUCUAUGCACAUACGUAGGGAGCCAUCUUUUUUUCGCAAAUAAUAUUGAUGCUCACCAAGGAGAAGUAUUGGGUCUAAUAAAACCCAUAUCAAACAAAUCUUUCAACUGCUCCUUAAGUUCCUUUAAUUCUGUUGGUGUCAUCCUGUAAGGAGGAAUAGAUAUUGGUUGCUUACCCGACACUAUAUCGAUGGGAAAGUCAAUUUCCCACUAUGGAUAAAGACCUGGAAGAUUAUACGGAAAUACGUUAGGGAACUCAUUCACUAGUGGAACUGAUUCAAGAGUCAGUAUUCCCUUCUCUAUGUCUCAAACAUGAACCCAUGAUAUAAGCAUCCCUUAGCGAUCAUCCCUCUUGCCUUAAGGUACAAAAUAAAUCUACCUUUUAGUGAUGCAGAAACACCAUUCUAUAAAUGACCCUUCUAGGAAAUCUAAACGAGACCGUCUUCGCUCUACAGUCAACAUUAGCAUAGCAAGAAGACAACCAAUCCAUACCAAGUAUAACAUCAAAGUCAACUAUUUCUAACUUAAUAAAGUCAGCUAUAGUACUAGGGUCACCAAUCACAACCGUGAAACCUCUAAAAACUAGCCUAGCUACUAUUGAAUCACCAACUGGGGUGGCUACCUCAAAAGGUUUAAUGGCAUCUAGUUCUAUCCUAAACUUAGUAGCAAGAAAGGGAGUGACAUAUGAUAGUGUAGAACCAGGAUCUAACAAUACAUACACAUUCUGAGAAUUCACUUAUAAAGUACCUAUAACCACUCUAGUGAAGCCUCCUAGUCCUGACGACCAAACAGAGAGUAGGUGCGGUUCUGGGGACCGCCUGUAGUAAGAGUUCCGCCUCGGCCUCUACCAUGGUCUGCUAGUGUCUGAGGAACUUGCCCUUGCAAGCGUGCUGGUGCUGAAGAAGCUGCAACUAAUCUUGCCGACUGAGAUGCACCAUUACCACCCCUAAACGAGCAUUCUCUCAUAAAAUGACCUGACUCACCACAAACAUAACAUGCAUCUUAACCCAAUUGAAAUCGGUCCAAAUAGUGUCUACCACAAUCAAAACACCUAGGGUAAAGUGAACCACCCUGACUAGAAACACCUCGAUACUAGGACCUUGAAGCACGUGAUUCCUGACUAGCUCUAGACUAUGAGGGUCAAUUAGAUCUCGGCCCCUAAAAUCGUGAAGGAGUACUAGCUGCUGUCGACGUAACAACUAUAUUGUCUAGAAGCACCAGAUGUCUCACCAAAAGAAUACUUGCAAUGUCCACACUCGACUGAAUACGUCCAAUGUCCACACUCAAAUGCAUAGAUACAGUCAUAUAUUCACUUACUAAGUGAGGACCAAGUCUUGCUACACAUGUGUACCAUGUCCUCCAUGUCUGAUACAACUGCAAGAGCAAACCUCUCCAAAGAAUUAAAGCAAAGGUUCAAUUCUGCAAUACUCAUACCCCCUGUCUCAAUGUCAGGAACUUAUCCAAUCAUGCUCUACGUGUCUCUAUAGGUAAGUAAUGGUGGAGAAAUGCCUCUAAUAACUCCCUACAGGUAAUUGGAGCAGUAUUUGCUACCCUAGACAUCUCCCAGUGGUAUAUCAACCUGCUGCUAGAUCUUGUAAUCUAUAUGCCACCAAUUCAACUGACUUUCUAUAUAUGGCAUGCAUAACUCUAAGGGCUCUAACUACUCUAUCUAGAAAAUUUUGGGGAUCCUCUGUUGUACUAGAUCUCGUGAAAAUUGGAGGCUCUAAUAUGAGGAAAUCAAGAAUCAUAGAACUUGUAUCAUCACCCUGAGGACCAUUAUUCUACCAUCUGGACUGGGUAGCUACAAUUCUAGUUAACAAUCUAACUACAUCCCUCAUGUCGAAGUAGACGGAGGUGUGGUAGCUGGAGCACCACCUAACUUCUCCCUAAACAAACAUAGUCCAUGAAGCUCUGGAUGGAACCUCAUGUCUGGAUCCUUAUGCUCAUCUAACUUAGGUGGUACUCUGCUAGAACCCUGGCCAGCAAUGGUUUUGCCCUUCAAGGCAGUUGUGAAUCUCUUUGGAGGAAUCCCUACAUAUAAAAUAUUUCAUUAGAAGGCUGAAUUCUUAUAACAUAGCUCAAUCGCACAAUCUAGAGAAGAAGGAAGGACAACCAUUCUAUAAUGCCCUGCAGCCUCAUGUUCAUAAGUAUGGUGUGCAACUUACUCUUGAAUAAGACUCCACUAUACAUGGCUUGUAGACACCCAAGGACUGAACUGCUCUAAUACCAUGUUUGUCACGACCUACCUAGGGCCGCGAAGGAUAACCGACACUAAGUACUGAUCAUCACUAAACCUGCUAAUAAUCUACUAAUCAUGAAUUUAACUGAUAAACUAAACAAGCAUAAACAUAAUUGAUAAGAACAGUACAAUUUUGUAGCCAACAAGGCUAACACAAGCUGACAUAUAAAAACAUACUAACUGCACAGGUGCAUAUCUACAUGCCUCUAGGAGUGCUGAACUAAAUAAGUAUUGGACGGAACAAGGUCACUCCAUACCCAAACUAGUUGAAUGUACACAUACAAAGAGAUAACUUACUCCCGGAGUAAGCAGCGUGACUCCAAUAGCUGGUGGAUGUCCUACUGAUGUGGCUCAAGCGUUGAUUUAUCUGUACCUGCACGACAAGAAACGAAACACCUCAGAAGGGACGUGAGUACAAUAUGUACAAAGUAUGUAGGAUGGAAAGCAUACUAAAGUAUGAAUAUACGCUGGAAAUCUAAAUAUAAGCUGGAAGCUAAACAAGAGUCUGAACUAGCAACUAAUCUAGAACUAAACUGAAGUUUAAGUUGAAACUAUGCUGAAAUUGAACUACUAUCUGAACUGGUACCUGACUGGAGUUAUCCUCUAUAUCCCCCAAUAAGGUAACUGUACAUCUGAACUGGCCUCCGAUAUCGUCGUGCAAUACAAACUGUAACUAUAUACACGUAUAUAACAUGCCUGACUGGCGUUAUGCGCUAUAUCCCCUAGCAGAUAAAUAGGACUGGUUGGUGUUAUGGGCUAUCUCCCCCAGCAUAUAAUUAAUAGGCCUCACUGGCGUUAUGGUAUAUAUAUCCCCCCCCCCCCCAAUUAUAAUCAAUGUAAGCAUGUGUGAGGCAUAAAACAUGUGGCAACAUCAUAUAAAAUCAUGAGAUCACGAAGGAAAGCAUAAACAGAAUCACAAACGUAAUCUGACGCUCGUCAUCCAUAAGUUUGAUGGAGCCAAUACCUAUUUUAAAGACAAAAUGAGUAUGUACAUUGGAUACUAAGGCUAAUUAACUCAUUAGGAUCCCUCUAGAAUCAAUUUAGAACCAAGGAACUUAAUAUUUGUCCCACUCUUUGAAUUUCCAAAAUUUCGGCAGAGUUUUCCUAAAACUUGAUGAUCCUAAAAUAAAAAAAACACCACAAUAUACAAGGGAAUCAAUACCUGACUAAGAUGAUAACAUAAAACUAAAGGUGGUCAAAUUAUCCACAACAGUGUCAAAUGAUCAACAAAACAGAAUUAUGAAGGUAAUGUCGGCUCAUAAUGACUAACUUGUGACAUGAAAGUCUAAAUACGAUUUAGGACUAAUAUAAGCAUCAAUACAUGAUAAUUAAGUAUAAUAUUAAAUGAAUAUAUUUGGAUCAUAAGGGGGUUAGGUAUAUAUAAAAACAACAAAUGAACGGAACAAACGGAUGUUCGGAUGGCAUAGGCCAAAUGGGCGAUUCGCCCUUUUUUGUUGUGUUUUGAGGUUCCAACCUAAACUAGUUUCUUCGAUACUUCCCAUAUGAAAUUUAAUACUAUACAAGGAUACAAUACAUGAUUAAAUUUCCCUUUAAUAACUCUUAAAAGAUCAAUAAGAAAGGGUAAAACUUAGCUAAACCAAACCAUACUGAAAAUGAAGCGAAAACGCUACAUACCUCUUGUGUUCUCGCUUACAAACAUUGUUCCCUUUGAUCCACACCCUUCCUUAUGCUUGUAUAGAUAAAAUACAGAGGUUACCAUCUUUAUCAGCCACUAAGCUCUAUCCAAAACUUGAUUUAUAAUGAAAAAGGAGGACGGCAAAGUCUUACCAUGUCGUAAGGAUCAUGUUCGUUUCUUGAUUUUGAGUUGUGGAUGAUGGACUUGCUUCAAAACCCUAAGGAACAUAUUGGAGAGAUAUGUAAUCUCUUCUUAGGCAUGAAAUUUAUGCAAAAUGAGGAAAGAAGAAGACUGUGUCUUCUAUUUAUAGUAAGGUUGAAAAGUCAACCACAUGUGUGCUUACUGAUCCUUCUUCCGACGCCCAUAUUUCUCUAUCCAAACAUCGUAAAAAGAGAAGUCGAGAGUGUUAGAACCUAAAUUUCAUGAACUUAAAUUUGGUAUAUAAUAUGUCCCAAAAAUACCUAAUAUAACACACAAAAUUAAAAAAAGCUUCGUUACAAGGCAAAUCCUUAGUCGGUUUUUCCGCAACUUAAAUUUGAUUUUUCCUAAACUUUAUAUUUUAUAUUCAAACAUCAUACAUAGUCAUAUUAUGACUUUAAACUCAUUUAAAUCAUGCUUAUCAAGUCAUUUACAUAAUAUACAACAUCACAUAAGUACGGGUAUAAUAAUUUCUUUUCAUUAGUGAAGUUUAUUUUUGCAUAUUAUUUGUUGGCUUGUCUAGCAAGCGGUGUUAGGAUCCAUCAUAGUUUUUAUGGGAGUUUGGGUCGUGAUAAGUUGGUAUUAUAGCACUAGUUUGCAUAAGUCUCGCAAUUCAUGAGCAUGCCUAGUAGAGUCUUGUGGAUCGAUACGGACGUUUGUACUUAUCUUUGAGAGGCUAUAGGGCUUUAGGAAACUUACCCUUUAUUGAUUCCUUUCAUGCGAUUUUAUUUUGUCCUUAAGCCUAUAUAUUAAAUUCUUUCCUACCCAUUUUGUACUCAGUUCUGAGUACUCAAUAUCAUAUGGGCACCGACGAGCUUUGAUGAUGAUACAAACAUGAUGAGGGAUUUUUUCUCUUGUGUGGGAGGUUAGAAUAUUAUUGUCGCUUUGCAGAUGAGUUAUUAGAGCCCAAGUGUCACACCUCCUUUUUCCUAUCCCCGAGGGAGAUAUAAGGGAGUUUUUUCAAUUUAAGUGACAAUCAAAACAGGAUUAUUUCAUUUAAAGAUUCAGAGUCACCACUUGGGAUAAUUUAUGGUGUCCCAAGUCACCGGUUUUAAUCCCGAAUCGAGGAAAGAUUGACUCUGUUUUACAGUCCGCGGACACAGAAAUCCGGGUAAGGAAUUCUGUUAACCCGGGAGAAGGUGUUAGGCAUUCUCGGGUUCCGUGGUUUUAGCACGGUCGCUCAACUGUUAUAUUGGCCUAAUUAUCUGAUUUUAAUACAUGUUUUAGCCUAUGGUAUAUUUUAACUUAUUAGCCGCUUUUAAUUAAUUUUAGGAAGAUUUAACGUUAUCUAAAACACAUCUUGAACCAUGCCACAUGAAAUGCACUCGCAGUCCACGACACAUUUUAUUUACGUUGUUCAGAAUUGGAGAUGGGUCACAUGAAAUGCACACCCGAGUUUAAGGAAAUUAAUUUAAAUUACGUGCCUAAAGCAACUAAGCACUUUCAAGUUUGCGAGGGCCAUGGAAAAUUCAACUAAAUAGCACACCUCGAUUCUAUUUGUCAAAGAAAUCUUGAUCUAAUUCUAACAGGGCCAUAAGUUAUGGACAAGAUAUUAUUGUGGAAAACACCCUUCAAUGGCAAGAACUAAUUUUUGGAGCAGCUAAAUUAAUUUCUUUAUAAAAAAUGAGCUAUAUCAGAUUUAAUGCAUCAAACCAAACGGAAACGGAAAUAAACAAACGCAAUCUGUCCCAUUACAAGGGCCAAUAAAGCACUACCAAAAAUUCGAGAUGCCAAAAAUUUGAUAGUAACAAUCGGAUCCAAACACAUGUGUCACAGAGAAAAAUAGAGGGAGAUGCAAAGCUAACCAACUCCUUGCUUCUUAGCUUUACCAUUUGAAAUGGUUGGCAAUUUUUUGCAGAAUACUCAAAUUGGCGUGGAAUUUCAUUUGGCGCAAGAGACAUCAUUUAGGAAAUAAUGAAUGGAAUCAUCAUACUCAAAAUAUAGCAAUGUUAAAACCAUAGUGUCUUUAUGUCCAACAGUACGUUUGCAAAUUUAGAAUACAAUUAAGACACUCCAAUGAAUGCAACCCAAUUAUAAAUAAUCAAGUUAUUUACAAAGUCAUUGUGGCCACAAUUUGGGUAAUCAUCACAGUGCUACUCAUAUUGCCAAAGAAUCUCCCAAACUUUACUGCCGACAUCGAAUUAAUAUGAUAACUUCCAAUAAAAUUUUUAGACGUUCAUACAUGAUGGUUCUCAAACUUGACUGAAGCUAGUUGGAUUUUAUUUAGAAUUAGUCCAAACCAUUAUAUUCACAUUAGGCAACAAACUAUAUUUGAGCACUCCACCUUACUUCAGUGAACAAACAAAAUUCCACUAAUAUAUUCAAAUACUCAAAGUAAAGAAAAAUCUUCCAACAACAACAUAAUAUAGGUAAAUAAAGCGACACUCAUAUAUACAUGCCAAAACAAAUAUAAGUACGGACAGAUAGGAAAUCAAACAACAGUCAUGAUUUAGGAAUAGAAAAGUUCAUCAACCAGCUAGUUCAAUCAAAACAAUAGGAAAUCAAAGUGAUAAAUGGCACCUUUUAAAGAAAUUCGGAUGAAGCCUUUUCCAUUGUUUGAUUCAAUACAAAAUUAAUUCCCAAGUGAAAGCUUCAAAAUAGAGCUUGAAAUAAGCCACAACUGCCGAAUAAUUGAGCGAUGACACCCAGCAAUCUCGGAAGUAACACAGUCCCGCAGAAACAGUAGCAAUUUCCUUUACAAAACCGAAUUUUGGAAGCUCAUUUCCUUCUCAGAUCUGUUUUGUAAGAUUCAAAGAAGCAAUAGAAAACCAUUUUUCAGUUGUUUCGUGUGUGCCGAUGGGGAGAUGAGGAGGAUGAAAGCGAGAUGAGAGAAUCAAGGAGAGGGUAUCACGGCUAGUUGGUGUUUUUCGCAAACAAAGCUGAAGAAGACGACUUAGGGUGUGCCGUUUCUUUAGGGGUUGGAUCUGAUGGAUUUUGUCACUCUCCUUUUUUGUUUUUCUAAUUAUGUUUUAUAUGUAUGUAGGGGUAGGGUAAAGGGUAAUGGGUAUUUGGGUGGGGAGAUUGGGUUUGGGUUCGUGAAAAGAUAAAGUGAGCGGAUACGAGCGAUUUUUUGAACGUUUGAAUACUCCGUGGGAAGCAUUUUUGAAAGAUUUGACCGCACUCUGCUUCCGAGGUUGCCUACAUAUCCUUGGCU